UACGUAGGGGGCAAGCGUUAUCCGGAAUUACUGGGUGUAAAGGGAGCGUAGACGGUAAUGUAAGUCUGGAGUGAAAGGCGGGGGCCCAACCCCCGGACUGCUCUGGAAACUAUGUUACUAGAGUGCAGGAGAGGUAAGCGGAAUUCCUAGUGUAGCGGUGAAAUGCGUAGAUAUUAGGAGGAACACCAGUGGCGAAGGCGGCUUACUGGACUGUAACUGACGUUGAGGCUCGAAAGCAUGGGGAGCAAACAGG
rnacentral:rRNA from 1 species